rnacentral:rRNA from 1 species
AUGGAUCACAACCCACGGAUUAUAUGCUGGAAUGUGAGAGGCUUAAACAACCCAGCCAAGAGGAAAGUAGUUAGGGAGUUCAUUGCUUCGUUGAGAGUCAACGUUGUGUGUCUACAGAAGACUAAGUUGGAGGUCGUGGAUCAGUUCAUAGUAAUGCAAUGUCUUGGACCAUCUUUCGAUGGUUUUGCUUACUUGCCAGCGAUAGAGACGAGUGGUGGUAUCUUGCUUGCUUGGGAUUCAACAUGUGUGACUGUUGAUAACCUGUAG